CACAUUACUUCGUUGAGUAAACUGUCAUAGCUUGAAUUUCUACUUUACAGCUUUAUAAUUCUAUUGCUCAUCAUCAUGUUUUUAAAAAAGUUUUGCUUCUGCAUUUCACUGCGAAAUGGCUGCUAUUUACUUGGUUAUUUCUUAAUAGUUGAAGGCUUUUCAAAUACAAUUACUAUUAUGUUAAAAUUCGGUCAUUCGUGCAAGCGAAUGUUAACGAUUUGGUUCGUACAAAGCCAACUGGGUAUUAUAGCUGGAAUUUUGUUGUUGGCUGCAGCAUCAAAUCCUACAAAUUUGAGCUUUUUGAUGCCCGUACAAAUUGUUGUCAAUUUAUCAAGCUUGAUUAUUGAAAUGAUUUAUUUUUUGCUGCUAACAAGCGUAUACGUAAACUUAACUAAGCUAACAAUUUUGUACUCAGUUUAUGCAAUUUUUCGCACUGUCUAUUGUACUGUUGUUGUUUUCUCCUAUUUUCAAAAGUUGGAAUAUAGUGGCGACGACUAAGCCAAGUUGCUGGCGCUGCGGCUGCUUAUCGUUCAACGGUAGUUACUGGAGCGGUCUUAAAAUCACAGCAUGUAGCAUUUUGUGCCAUGAUUAAACAGAAAAUUUAUU